CCCUUCUUUUUCUAUUCUCUUGAUUUUCCUUUACCCCUCCUACCUUAUCCAGCGGCCCACCAGCACUCAUCCUCUCCGCCUUCCUCCUCUGCAUCUGCAUCUCACCCCUCACGGCACCGUACCCAGUACCCAGCACCCAGCGGCGCUUCGCCGCGGUCCGGCGCCGCCCACCGCCUAGCGCUGUGGCCCGCCGCCGCCCAGCCUCUGCGUGCGAGAGCGGGGCCUCCUCCAUGGCAUCCGCCUCCACGCCGAGAGGAGAAGCAGUCCGCUUCCCUGCACCUGCGUGGUUCACCGCUGGACGCGGCAUGUGCGGGGGCGCAUGUGCUUUUCCCCGGCACCUCCGCCUCGAAUCUCGCGGCGACGGCGCCGCGAGCGGCCUCCCCGGAUUCCAGCCGGACUACAACCACACGGAGGUGGGGGCCAUCAGGCUGCAGGUCGUCACGACGGAGGAUGGGCGGGCAACGUCCUAUUGUGCGACUUUGGCAGAUGUGCGGGCGUCACGGGGCAUCACUGUCGACGACCUUGCUGCUGCCCUGCUAGUGGAUGCCGUUCCCUCAGGAGUCAGGACUGGUGGAUUCAGCUCUGACAAGUGCACCUGAGGUGUGCUCCGACUUGAAAUCGAGUUCUUGCUUCUUGAUGGAGCAACAUCAACGUGCUUCUUGGUGUUUACUCUAGCAGCAAUUUUUGGUUCUUCCUCUGUCCUAUCUUCUUGCCUCUCUGUUUUCAUCUUCUUUGCUGCAUUGGCCGGAUCCGGGAUAGUGAGUUCCGGGAUGAGGGUGGUCGUAACAUGCAGGGGAAGAGAUGGCCGCAGCGGCUGCGUUGCGCUGCGAUUUGGCUAUCGUGGUGGCAGGCGGCAUGGUGAGGGUGGCAGAGAACAUGCGGCGGCGGUGUGGGGUGGGUGCGGGUGGAGGAAGGAGGGCUAGUGCAGGCCAUGGCUGUUUUGUGGGCGAAUACAACGCAGAGCUGGGAUGGCCCUCUCCAUCGCCGGUCGCCGCCUCCAUGCUGGGCGACUGUACGUGUACAGCAUAUCAUUGCUCCAUCCCUAGCUUUUGCGCCUUCACCCGGCUUUGGUGCCUGCCUAUGUGAGUACAGCCCGGACAAACCGACCUGAGGGAGGACGGGCCGGACGGCUGAGAAAGGCGCUAGGACGGCGGCCAGUUCCUGCGCAGGGGCAGUGUGGUCGGCGGGCCGGAGGAGCGAGAGGGCAGUGAAAAACUCUUUGCCAAUGGGGGAGGCCUACUAGCUCCAACGCGAAGGCGGCCCAAGCAAUGGCGUUACCCACACACCGAGCCGGCCGCAGGAUAGCACCGCCCCAGUAAGGCGUGGACACACGUCGCGCAUGGGAAGGCCGCGGAGGGGAGGAGCGCUCCAAGGGGCGGUCGGCCGCUGCGCUAUAGAACUAUAGUAUUAGAGAGUUUUUUGGUGGAAAAAAUUAGGGAGCUUCUUGAGCAUUAAAAAGGCUGUCAAAUGCCUAAUUAGCUGAGGUGGCAGGUGGGCCUUCACCCGUCCCGAGGCUGCAGGGAACAAUGGGGGUGCAUUGGGAGGCUCUGCCUCGUUCCUAUUGUGUGGUACAUGCAAAGAGUCAAUUAAUUAGUUAUGCCUAUAUAAACUACUGUAGAAACAUUGCAUUGGGGAAGGUAGUUUCCUAUUUCUUAAUUACAGCUAUGGAAAUCAUAUUUAGGAAACCUUUAUUGGGACUGCCCUUAUCCAACAUCCAAACACUCUGCUUGCUCUGAUAUGCUUGCUUGGUGAGGCAGUAUAGUGAUGGGCAAGGGAACCAAACAGUCCAGCUCGGUGACGGAGAAUGCCAUAGCUGCAGCCUGCAGAGGAAUAAAUACGUCACACUUACCCUUGCAAGCUGUUUUAGAGGAGUCCAAAAAUAUUUCCAAUGUUCAUGGGGCUAUAGCAACUCUAAUAAUGAUCCUACUAAAACCCGCAUACCUAUUUUAAUGUGCUUGGACCAAAAAAAUCAACUCUUCUAGCCCCUUACGAUCUACUGGAUCCACGAUCUCUGCCGGAAGGUAGUCCCGCAUAUCACAUAAUCCCUCUAGUUCCCUAAAACUUAUCGUUUUCAGUCUAUCCUAAAUCAAAUAUUUUAAACUUUGACUACAAAUAAAUUUUAUUGUAUUAAGUUUGAAAAUGUGAAAGUGAUAUUAAUAAAUUCAUCUUGAAAUAUAGUUUCAUAAAAAUAUACUCCCUCCGUCCCAGAAAAUAUGUGAUUGUGUGGUUCAAAUUGUGUCCCAAAAUAAAUGUAAACACAUGAAUAGAUCAGCUUUAUGGUGGGACCCACUAAUAAAAAAACCUGCGAACGACCCUAUCCAUCCAUCCUGAUGCCCCACGGAGCCUCCAGCGACCAUGAUAAAAAAAAAAGCCAAGCCACCAGCCACCCACCUCCUUCAUCGGAAAAAAAACAAUGGAUCUGAAGAAUCGGGAGAGGCGCUCCACCCCCUGCCUCCUCCCAUCCAGGAUUCCAAUCCAAUCAUCCAAGUCCCCAAUCCACUCCCCAGCACCCUAGCCUCUAUUUGUCUACAUCUUCUUCCCCAUCUCGCUCGUGCAAAUCCAUGGCUGGUGGCGGUAGACCCCUAACCCGUUGCUGCAAGAUGCGAUGCCGCAUCAGUGGGAGGAAGGGAGGCACGAAUCUGUGCAAAGAAGUCGAUGUGGUUAAGCGUCCCAUCCGACGCGGAGGCCUGCGCAUCAACGUCCAUGGCGACCUCUACGCCCCAGACUCGGAAGAAGAAGAGUUGGACAUGGAGGCGGAUGCCUCUCCCUGCAAGAUCCGGAGUGCGGACGCCCGACCCUGCAAGAUCCGACGUGGUGGCCUGCACAUGGACGUCCACGGCGCCCUGUACGUCCCGGACUCAGAGGAAGAAGACUCGGACAUGGAGGUAGCCGCUAACGGGUCUCUAGGCGUUGUUCAGGCGGCCGCCAAAAAAGCUGCCGAAAUAGUUGCCACUAUGAAGCUGACCCCAGAGGUUCAAGAACGCCUACAGGCAGUGCUUGCCAACAUGGAUCCACUCUUCCACGGCGAAUUUGUCAGCAUGUACAAGAUCCUGGAGCUUGUGAACUGAGAUCAAAAUAAUCUUGUUCACCAAGAACAACAAAGGUGACUUCUCCAUCUGCCUAGCAGUCAUCAUCAGCGGGUGGCGCAUUGAGGUCUGGUAGGGCUUGCCCACCCACAUUUGGUUGAUGAUCUUCAUCACCAGCAUGCAAGGAAGAAAGGUCAACUCUUUUGCAUAUGUCUUGCACUGAUACUACUUGUGGAGAUGAUGUUAUGAGACAUCUAACCUGGAUUAUUUACUUGUUGCCCUCCUGCAAUCUGGGUUUGCUGUGCUUCAUCAUUGUACGUGUGCUCUUCCUCAUGUUGUGGUUCCUCAUUCAAUUCCAGUAAGGCACCAUAAAUUUGGAAGGAACCUCUGUCUGGUGGCUUAUUCAAGUCUAUAAAUGCCUCUUCUAGACCUAGUGGUUCUGCGUUCAAAUCAAAACCCAUAGUUGCCACUCUGGAAGAUGAAAAGAUUGCACCGUGAGCAGGAAAUAGAAGCAGGGAAGGCAUGGUGAGGGAGGAGAAAAUAGAAGCAGGAGGAAAUGGAAGCAACUAGAGCAACCAGUGAUCUGGUGUGUAAGUGUAACACUGGUUUAUAUACGCUGUUGGAUGGGCUGUUGGAUGGGCAGGAAACUAAAAUUUGUAAUGUGUGGACAAUAUUCUUCCACCGAACUGGGACUCUCUAUUUUUAAAUAUUUUUGUGUGGUUGGUAUUGGUUCACCACAAUCCGUGUGAAUCCCUGAACUGCCGAAGAAUACUCUAGAGGAUGAUAACAUUUGAAUUCUGACAUGGUUUAGGA